CAGGCAGCGCCGGGGCAGGAGCCUGGCUGCCCACAGCACCCAUCCCACGGGAAAACCUCCCGGAGCGGGGCCGGGAACCCCCCUGUGGCACCUGGGACCCGAGCGGGGCCGAGGGGCUGCGUGGAUUUGCUUCGCUGACCUCUGCUCACUCCCCUGAGGCACUUUGCCUCCGCCAGCUCCCUGACCUCUCCCCAGAGCAGGCAACAAGCUCCCGCCCCGUUUCGGUGGCCUUGAAGCCAUCACUGCGGCACUGGGGGCCUGGGGUGGGCUGAAAACCACCACCACGAGACAGAGGUACGGGCAGGUGGGCUCUCCAGACCCCCUGGCUUUACGCAUCGCUGUUUUCCUUGGAGGGACAACAAAUGAUUCAUCAGUCUCAGCACCGGACGGGAUGAAAGGGCGUUGAACUCCUGCAGACCAGAGAGCCCGUGCAGGGCUCCUGCACCAACCCACCACUUACGGCCUCUCAGCCUGGAAACAGGGAGGCAAGAGGUGAGCAAGAGGUGAUGGAGAAUGCUUGCCAACCACCAGCAAGCUGUUUUGACAGUUAAUCACCCUUUCAUUAAAGCCUGAGUUCAUCUA